CAGUCAAAGAACUUACAUAACCAACAAUUUGCAACGUAAACUAGGUUUAACGCCCAAGAAAUCCGAAUCAAUACAGCUGAACACUUUCGGAGACAACAAGUUUAGAAAACAAACAUGUAACAAUGUCCAGCUUGUUCUCGAAAAUUCAAGUGGUGAAAAAAUAUACCUAACUGCACUAAGUGUACCAGUGAUCUGUUUGCCUUUACCACCAGCCGUUGAUGUGGAUUAUCCUCAUUUGGAAGGACUAGAACUUGCUGACCCAUUGGACGAAGACAACGAAUCACGUAUUGACAUCUUAGUUGGUUCUGAUUUUUAUUGGAACAUUGUCACAGGUGAUAUAAUUCGCGGAGGAAGUGGUCCUAUCGCUGUUCGAAGCAAACUUGGUUGGCUCUUAACGGGUCCCAGUGAGGGAUAUGUAUCGAGUGAUGAUAAAAUCACGUCAAAUCUGAUCAUUGCGGGAGAAAGUGAUAACUUCCUUACUGUCAACGAAAGAGAUUCCUUAACCGAUAGUCUAAAGCAGUUUUGGCAAACGGAAUCAAUCGGGAUUUUCGAUCCAGAAUCAAAUGAUGACCUGCAACGAAAUAAGUUUGUCGAAGACAUUCAGUUCAAUGGCACGCGAUACGAAGUAGGAUUACCGUGGAAAGAUGGGUGUCGACCAGACUCAAACCAUUAUGGACUUUCAUCACUAAUCUUUAUCAAUACGAGCAAUUGAUAAAUGAACCUACAAGAGUCACAAAAGACAACGCAACUUUGAUUGAUCACUUUUAUACAACAAAACCAGACUUAAUAA
rnacentral:lncRNA from 1 species